rnacentral:lncRNA from 1 species
UUAUACACACACAUAUAAAGUAUGAUUCAAAUUAUCCAAUAUAUGACAUUUUUCUUGCAUCCCAAAUCGUAAGCAAAGAAUUCCUCCUCGACGGCACGAAAAAUUAAAAUACGCUUUAGAAACAAAGAGAAGGAAUCUGUACACCUUUUAAAAAAAAAAAAAAAAAGAAACGACGUGCAGGUCGGCAGAAGUCCCAUCUCUAGCAUAGCCAAAUGGGUGUGGAUUGUCGAAAGCUUUCCAAGGUGGGGUUUGCCCAAAUUGGAUUUCCUUUACACAGAGGAAUCAUUACUGUCCACAUGGUUUCAUCCGCAGA